UCUUAAGCUUUUCAGAGGAAUUUGCUCUUUAAUGGAUGAAACACCUUAACCUUACUUGGUCUAGUAAAAUUCAGUUUGUAUACCACUAUAAAAAUAAUAAUUUACUUUUAUUAUUAAAAUUCUUUUUUUAGAUAAAAAUUAAGUCAAGGUGCAGCUUAAGGCUAAGAAUGAAGUGAAUUACAUUUCUUAAAAGAAAAGAAAAGUGAAACAAAAUAUUAGGAUUUGAUAGUAAAAUUAAAAUAAAAAGUUAAUUUGAAUUAAGCUCUAAGAUAU
rnacentral:rRNA from 1 species